GCAAGGGCCAUUGCUCAGUGGUAGAGUGUCUGCUUUCAAUGUAUAUGGUCCCAGGUUGGACCCCUGAUCUGACUGUA